CAUUUGAUAAUAAUUCACUUAUUUAUUUUAUUUAUGAUAAGAGAAGCUUGUACGCAUAAUUAUGGCUUCAAAAUGGGUGGAUAAACUUAUCAUGUCAUGUCUGCUAGUGGUGACGUCAUCGUUUGUUGGAGUGUUUGCAGGGAAGAAAUACGUCGACUGGAGAAGCUUUCGCUUGUUCAGUAGAUACAUGAAGAUACAGUAGAUACAGAUGAAGGGAAGAAUCGCUCUUACAUGUACAUAUGUUGAUUGAGUGUUAGUGUUGUUUUCUGAGUUUUAUUAUACCACUUUUGUCAG